rnacentral:tRNA from 1 species
GAGGGUGUAGCUCAGUGGUGGAGAGCGUUAGCAUGCACGAGGUCCUGGGUUCAAUCCCCAGCACCUCCA